rnacentral:lncRNA from 1 species
UUUUUUUCUUUUUCUUUUUCUUUUUUUUUUUUUGAGACAGAGUCUCCCUCUGUCACCAGGCUGGAGGGCAGUGGCGUGAUCUCUGCUCACUGCAACCUCCACCUCCCAGGCUGAAGUGAUUCUCCUGCCUCAGCCUCCCGAGUGGUUGGGACUACAGGCGCACGCCACCAUGCCCAGGUAAUUUUUGUAUUUUUAGUAGUGACUGGGUUUCACCAUGUUGGCCAGGAUGGUCUCGAUCUCUUGACCUUGUGAUCCGCCCGCCUUGGCCUCCCAAAGUGCUAGGAUGACAGGCAUAAGCCACUGCGCCCAGCCAAUAUUUGUAGUUUCUGUAACUCACCUUAAGGAGGAGGAAUUUCAGUUUCUAUGGCCUGCCUUGCAGGAGAAAAAUGGGAGAAAGAAGGGGGGCAGGAGAAGGUCAGAGAGAGACUUGGCUUCUGAGGCUCUUCCAGUGUCCUUUGGUUCAAAGUACUCAGCACGCCCAAGUGUCAUCUUUUUAGGCAUCGCUUUCUGACCCCUAACAGCACCUUCACUCAGAUGACCACUGGGCAUCUCAAACAUAACCCAGACCAAGCACCGGCCACUUUCCACAUCUCAGAUAAUGACAACUCUCCUAGGUGCUCAAGCCAAAACUGUGCAGUCUUUCCUGCUCUUUCCCUCACUCCCUACAUCCAACUCCUCAGCAAAUCCUGUGUUCUCUACCUUCAAAAGCCAUUCUAAAUCUGGCUGCCUCUCCCUCCCUGCUCUCACCGCCCUUGUGACAUCUCGCCUGGAUAGUGGCAGCAGGCUCCUCACUGGUCUCCAGCUUCCACUGACAUUGAUUCUCGCCACAGCAGCGAGAGUACGCCUUGAAAUCUCUCAGGUCCCUCCUCACAGCCCUGUCUAGACUAACAGCCCUCCCAGAUUUACAGAGCCCCAUCCCACCCCUUCCACCCCCACCUCCUACUGUUUGCCACCCCCUCCCCAGGCCUCCCAGCCUCACUGGCCUUCUUACACAGCAGGCCUGAGGCCACUGCGCUGACUGUUCCGUCUGCCUGGAAUUGGCAUGACUGGCUCCCUCAUUUCCUUCAAGUAUUUGUCCAAUGUUACUUUCUCAGUAAGGCCUACCCUGACCACUCUAUUUGCAAUUGCAACCUCCCUACUCCCACAAUUUCCCGUCUCCCUUAUCCUCCUCUGUUUUUUCCGUGCCACUUAUUACCUUCUAACACAUUUAUUAUUAUUAUAUAGUAUUAACUGAACAAAAUUUAGUAGGGGAGACAGGCAAUAAACAAGAAAAUAAAAGCAUGAGCAUAGGAGAGUUUACUCUAGCAGUGAGUGCUCUGAUGGAAAUAACACCCCAGGGAUGGGACACAGACUGCAGGGCAGGUUGCCUUACAAUGGUCCCAGAGGGGACCUCUGAGCAGAGACUCAAAUCUGCGUCCAGAGGCAUCCUGAGGAGUGGAGCUGCGGCUGGGGGUGGGAAGGAAGGCCAUUCUAGGCUGCAGGAACUGUAAGGGCAAAGGCUCUGAGGUGGGAGCCAAGUUCAUGGGCAGAUGUUUGAGGACACCUCCGGCUUCCAGGGCCUUCCAGAAGCUCUAGUCUCUUGGGUUUGGUUGUGCAUUCCCGAGACCUUCACCGCAGGCCGCCUCCUGGACCCACUAGGGCAGAGCCUGGGGGCUGCUGGUGGGCUUCAGGCCAGGGAAGCAGAAAUGGGUAAUUUCCAGAGGCAGAAAUCAGCCGACCCCGGUGGGCCGGUGGGUGGCCAAAAAAGCUUGACCGGCCCAAAAAGCUUGACCAGCCCUCGCGGGCUGUGUAGGAGCCCGCCCUUAGGAGGUGCCCAGAGCGAGACGUCCCUGGUUUGGCUCUGCCGGGGAAGUAGGCCUAGCAGGGAGAGGGGGACCAGAGAGGAAGAGAUGGACUGAGUUUUCCGGACGGUGGGCCGGGACCGAGGCCCGCGGACCAUCUGAGGGGGACCUCUGGGUUCGAGGCCGCCCGCACCGACCAGUUCUGUGGCUCGGGCAGUUCAACGCCCUCUCGGGCCUCAGUUUCCCGCCCUCGCUGAUCCCGAGGCAGCCUCGGAGAUCCCGGGCCG